rnacentral:rRNA from 1 species
AUUGAACGCUGGCGGCAUGCCUUACACAUGCAAGUCGAACGGCAGCACGGGAGCAAUCCUGGUGGCGAGUGGCGAACGGGUGAGUAAUACAUCGGAACGUGCCCAGUAGUGGGGGAUAGCCCGGCGAAAGCCGGAUUAAUACCGCAUACGACCUACGGGUGAAAGCGGGGGAUCGCAAGACCUCGCGCUAUUGGAGCGGCCGAUGUCAGAUUAGCUAGUUGGUGGGGUAAAAGCCUACCAAGGCGACGAUCUGUAGCUGGUCUGAGAGGACGACCAGCCACACUGGGACUGAGACACGGCCCAGACUCCUACGGGAGGCAGCAGUGGGGAAUUUUGGACAAUGGGCGCAAGCCUGAUCCAGCCAUGCCGCGUGUGGGAAGAAGGCCUUCGGGUUGUAAACCACUUUUGUCAGGGAAGAAACGGUCUGAUCUAAUAAAUCGGACUAAUGACGGUACCUGAAGAAUAAGCACCGGCUAACUACGUGCCAGCAGCCGCCGUAACAC